rnacentral:misc_RNA from 1 species
GAAGUAUGGCAUGCUCAAAUUUUUAUCAUUUAGCUCGUAACAAUUUUGUUAUUCAAUGAGGUUUGCUUCCUGCAUCUAUUUGUUAUAUAGUGCAAAGUGUCAUUUGUGUAUUAGAAAGACUUGCUUCUAGGAUAUGAUUUCAAGUAGACACUUGAUGAGUAUGGCAUGUUGUGUUCAUUUUGUUCGUGUUGUGUUCAUUUUGUUCAUGUUGACUUAUCUUUGGACAUCAUUGUUGAAUGUUUUUGCACAUUUUGAGCAUCAUAGGAGGUUUCUGACAUUAAUUAGUUAAGCAUUUGCUAAUUUCAUGCUCA